AUGCAACUUGGCACUUUUAAUGUCGAAUCUGGAUUCACUAAGAUAGAAAUAAAGCAUUGGGUCGAACUCUUCUUUGGUGUUAAGGUGGUAGCUGUGAAUAGCCAUCGACUACCUGGAAAAAUAGAAGAAUAG
rnacentral:rRNA from 1 species